ensembl:lncRNA
CACACACAUCCUUCGCUGUUCUGAAAGAAGUUGCCGCGCUGUCAGUCAAAUAAAGCUCACUGAAGCGUGCCGUGUGCCAUCAGCGACACGAGAACUACAUGAGGAAGUCGCAUGCGCACAUCUGAACACUUAUGAUCGUGGAGGAAGCAGAUGGACUGCUUUCUGUGUGAGAGAUCUAGUCAAACAUGACACUCCCUCAACGCAGACACGUGCUUUGAGCCUAGGUAACAUAAAAACUGUUUAGACACGUCCCACUGGGGGAGGGUGAGAUGACAUGCACACACUUUGAUAACUCAGAAGCUAGAUGACUGGCUGCUGGUGUGUUCAGGUAGGGAUCAGUCUCUGCUAAUGUUCAGCUGGCUUCUUUCCUAGAGCCUCAGCUCGCUCCGUCUUCCAGCCUUACAUCACUUGAAGCUCCUCAGAUGUUUGAGGCCACAUCCUUUCAUCUGUUGUUUCCGUGUUUUUGCUUUACGUCUGGCUCAUGGAGUCCUCUCUGACGCCUUUUUACGUGUCUUCGGAUGUCAUCGCCCUUCGAUUCCUGCUCUUCCUUUGCCAGGCCUACGGUGUUGUGUUGCUGCUGAUGCCACCUUUGAUUGCUGUGGAGUUGUUGCUUGAUCUGCUGCAUUCUCAAGAGGUGCGACUAAAGGGACAAGAUGCAAGACAGCGAGAUGCAAGUGAAUCCCUCUCUAUGACAGUUGGCUAUUUGGGAUGUCUUCUAGCAUGGAGCGUGAGCGGGAUCUACAGCAGCCAUGACUGGACGCUGGAGCAGAUCUCAGUGGAAACCUGUCGGGAAAAAGGUGGCCAUCUUCUCACCUGCCUUCCCAGCGCUGAUGAGUUUUCCUGGGUUCUUCCUGCUGUGGUGGUCCUGUUGAGCCUGACGGGGAGCCUGGGUCUGUUCAGGAUGAAGGCGUCCAGAAGACAGCCUGACUCAUCUGAAAACACACAGACGGGCGUGAAAAAGGACUGUUUGGGCCCUGGGCUAAUGCAUAUGUCUCAAACUCUGGUUGACUCAGAAAAAACACCCAACAGCUGUGGCUUUCACAUGGCUGGGUUUGUGUAUGGUGAGCCACGAUGGAUCUGUCCUGGGAGCGGUGUCCAGUGCGCUCAACAAACCGGUUUGGCAGACAUUAUCAAGAAACAAAAGCAAUCAUCCAGCCAUGCAACAUUUGCUCAGUCCAAAACCGAUCUUCUUAUGGAUGUCACAUCAUUGGCGCUCAAAAUGGAGCAAUGUGUAUUUAACAGAACAGACCCAAAGUCUCAAAGAAGACACUGUUGGUUUCACAAAAGGGAAAGUCCCUGCUCAGGGCGAGAAAUCUUCGCAGGGUUGGUAUGCAUGGUUAUGGUUUGUGUUUUCCCCACAGCCGUCAGUGGAAAUAUUCUCCUAAUCUUUAACCUGGAGAAUUUGG